rnacentral:rRNA from 1 species
GGCCAGACUCCUACGGGAGGCAGCAGUGGGGGAUAUUGCACAAUGGGGGAAACCCUGAUGCAGCGACGCCGCGUGUGGGAAGACGGCCCUCUGGAUUGUAAACCACUGUCCCCAGGGACGAAAAUGACGGUACCUGAGUAAGAAGCCCCGGCUAACUACGUGCCAGCAGCCGCGGUAAUACGUAGGGGGCAAGCGUUAUCCGGAUUUACUGGGUGUAAAGGGAGCGUAGACGGCAGUGCAAGUCUGGAGUGAAAGGCGGGGGCUCAACCCCCGGACUGCUCUGGAAACUGUACGGCUGGAGUGCAGGAGAGGUAAGUGGAAUUCCUAGUGUAGCGGUGAAAUGCGUAGAUAUUAGGAGGAACACCAGUGGCGAAGGCGGCUUACUGGACUGUAACUGACGUUGAGGCUCGAAAGCGUGGGGAGCAAACAGGAUUAGAUACCCCAGUA